AAAAAUUAUAGGUCUAUUCUAUAAGACUAGAAAUUGACACCAUCAAAUUCAUAACAAAAUAACAAUAAAAACUAUACUUCAUAUCUACAGCUCUGAGUGCACGUCCAUCAUGUGUUUACAAACUAGAUGUGUUCAUUAAACUUCAAAAACUGAAUAUUAACUAUGAGAUAAGAAUACAAGAACUACCACAAGAAAUUAACCAUCAUCUUGUGUAAUUAAAUCACCCUGUGUGCUUGAGGCUUCCCUUAUUUGUACAGAAAUACUACAAAACUACUCAACGAGCAUGUUGCCAAGAUGAAAUUAGUUAACCAUCUCGCUCUGAAUGUUGCCUCAACACUUGACUGAACUAAACCUGAAAAGUUUAUGCUAUGUAAAAGAAAAUAGAUUGACAUACUCGCAUAAUAAUUGACGACAAAGUAAUGCUACUUAAUAUUUCAGAGAAACACUUGUCAUGAGCACUGGACAAAUGCAGCCUUUUGACACAUAAAAUGCUUUGAAAGAACAUCCUUUCAAAAAGGAAAUGAAAAGGACAGCAUGCUCUAGAUGAUGACAUAAAUGCAGACUGAUCCAAGAUCCCAUUCAAUUAAUUUACAAAAUUUAAUAGCAAACAUAAUAAUGACAAAAUACAGAAGGUGAGAAGUUGCCACAAAACGGAUGACACAGUCAAUGUGUGUUAGAUGUUAACGUAUUAAGCAAGCUGUCGCAUUCUAAUUUCUAAGCUCAAUCACCUAAUCAGAUCAGAAGCUUAAAAGUGUACAGGCACAACUAUCCCAAAACCCUGUAUUAAUUCUCAUUCUCUACAUGAUUUUUUCCCGACACAUUCAAGUGAGAAAAUCAAAGAACCUGUAUCGCAUUAAAAAAAAUGAACAAUCAGCUCCCUGUUUGAUUAACAGCCAUUUGCAAUAAACUCUAACAGAAGGAACCAGUUAUUAAUGGAAUUAAAUACCAGGGGCCAUUUAAUUUGAUUUUGAAAAAGGAAGAACAUGAUACUAACACAAAAUGUGAGGGCAUUUUAGUAAUUUACCAAAACAACUGUAAGGUAUAUGCACAGCACAUCCACUCUAAUAAACCCAUAUCAUCUAAGAUAAAGAAGAGUAAGAUUUCAAACCUAAGCAGGGGUCUUGGUUGGUCACAUUGUGGAGUACGUGAUGGGUCUUCCAACUUAUCAAUUCCAUCUUGCAUUAUGACGCCGGUUGGCUCACUGAUAGUUCGAGAUAAAUUGUCUGCAAGCUCCUUAAGACCCUGCUAGCAAAGAAAGAGGGAUCAGGUUAAAGUUCAAAUUAAUUCGUUAACAGAUUACAUUUAUUGCUUGCUGCCUAAACAUCUUUAAUCCUCGAGUACAUUUAUAUGCAAAUACACUGACAAUGCCCUAAGCUGGUUUCACAGAAGCAAAUGCCAACCAAUGGUCUCAUUUGUCCAUGUUAGUGUGUACUUGCACACAGUGUUUGAGCGCGCGCGCGCGUGUGUGUGUG
rnacentral:misc_RNA from 1 species